GCCAUUUUGAUUAAAACAUGUGUGCUCAGCUUUAUAUAUGAUAUAUCGUGGAAUGAGUAAAUAGACAUUUUCACUAACUAGGAAAUAUGUGCAGACCUUAUUUCCACAACAACUAUAUUUUAAGGAAAACAACACAGAAGGUAAAUCCUAUGCAACGCUAUGGUGUGCUUUUACGACUGUGUCAAGAGGAUAUUUCAUAAAACUUAAAAGUAAGAUAAACAAAACGGUGCCUUCAGAGCGGAGUUAUAUUUAGAAUACUAAAAAUUAUUGAGCAGAAAUAAAGACCAACUGACAGAAGAAACAUUAAAUCAAUUAAGUGAAUUGAGAGAAAAUAAAUUCCAUAGAAUUAAAAAGAAUAAAUAAUUAUUUAGAGAGGUUGAAAGUUCAUUACUAUUAUGAUAAUAACAGGAUUUCAAGAUGGUUAACAAAAUAAAAAGGGAAGGGAAAAAUAGAAUAAUAUGUUUCAAUUAAGAAAAAAUACAGAAACCCAGAGAAAAUAAGGUUUUUCAAGAAUAUUACUCCGACUUGUAUAACAUUGUAAAUCGAUCUGAUGAACAAGGGUUAAUUAGCUAUGUGAAAGAAAUUAAUCUUCCCAGAAUCACACAGGAGCAAAGUUUAAUCCAAAAUUCCCCCCUGACUAAAUUAGAAUUUUAAAAGGCUAUUGAUAAACUUGCCAAUUUUAAAACGCCUGGACCUGACGGUCUGAAUAAUACAUUCUACAGGAUGUAUUGAGAUAUGCUAAGCGAACCUUUAACUAAUACAUUUAAUGAGAUUGCUAUUAAAGGUGCGGCACCGACGGAAUUGCUGUGUGCAAAUAUACUGCCUAUUUUGAAGAAAGAUAAAUAUCCACAAUAAGUCAAAAACUAUCGACCCAAAUUUCUUUGAUAAAUGUUGAUUCAAAGCUGUUCUCAGCAAUUUUGGCAGAAAGGAUAAAGGGAGUGCUCCCACGUUUAAUUCAUGAAGAUCAGUUCGGUUUUGUCCUAAAUAGACAAGCAAGUUUGACGUCUGAUUGAUAUACUGGAUUGGGGGGAGAGUAGUGGCUGUACUCUGCUGACCCUGUCAUUGGAUGCAGAGAGGGCCUUUGAUAGGGUCGGCUGGGGAUAUAUGUUUAGAGCUUUGGAAUCCUUUGGUUUUUGUGGAUGGAUGUUAUUAGCAAUAAGAUCAUUAUACCAGGGAGCAACAGCUAGAGUUGUGGGGAUAGACUUAUGUUCUGAAUGGUUUUCACUGAAUAAUGGUACCCAACAGGGUU